rnacentral:rRNA from 1 species
UACGAACUGUGCAAACGUUAUUCGGAAUCACUGGGCUUAAAGGGUGCGUAGGCGGUUUGUUAAGUAGGGUGUGAAAGCCCCCGGCUCAACCGGGGAAUUGCGCCCUAAACUGGCGGACUAGAGUGAGAUAGGGGUGUGCGGAACUUCCGGUGGAGCGGUGAAAUGUGUUGAUAUCGGAAGGAACGCCGGUGGCGAAAGCGGCACACUGGGUCUCAACUGACGCUGAGGCACGAAAGCCAGGGGAGCAAACGGG